rnacentral:miRNA from 1 species
UAAGGAUCUAAGGAACGUCCUCAGGUUGGUGUGUUUUGACUCAAAACACACCAACCUGAGGACGUUCCUUAGAUCCUAG